AGCUCUGGGUGCCGCGGUGCCUCCGUGUGGUUUGGGGUCGCUGUCACUCAGGAGUUCUUCGACCCCCAACAUUCGAGCGUCAGUCUCCCCCUGGGGGGCCCCCCCCGGCCCCGAGGAGCGUCUGCUGCCAGUUUGGGGGACAAAUACGGCCGCAACGCCUACGUGUGACACCCCCCUCCCCCCCCCCAAAAAAAAGGGGGACCCCCCCCUCAGGACUGUGGGGACGCCCCCACAGGAAAAUUGGGGAUCCCUCUCUCCGGAUCUUGGGACACCAAAGGACCCCCCCAGGAACAUUGGAGUACCCCCCUCCC
ensembl:lncRNA